AGUUUCGAUUCAGCUGAUAGGUGGGGAGAAAGCACCCCAGUUCUUGGAAGUUAGCUGUUUCUCCUCCUCGCAGACAACCUCCAGAGCAGGGCAGCAGGCAGCUGCUAGAGAUUUAUUUCUCCGCUUAGUUGUCUCCGCUUGCGGCUUCCUCCCAUGAGUGAGGACCAAGAGAAGCCCCCUGUCUCUGAUGAAAGUGGGGGAUGAACACUGAACCAAACCCACACUGCUCAGCACAUUUGAUGCGGCCAGAAACAGACUGCCAAGGCUGAGAAAGCUUUUCAGGGGCCGUCUGGCUGUGUGGGUGCGAAGACCUGGCUGUAUUUGGAAUCACCUGGGAAGACUUACAAAAAUGGUUUCCGAGCCUCACCCGCAAGGAUUCUGACUUGGCAAUGGAAGAAUGAAAGGCAACCCAGAGUGAAAUUAGGAUUACAAUUUUACAAACGUCUGUUUCUGACGCAGAAAGCACAUCAUUUGUCCACAUCACACUCUCUUGGAAUUUAUGACAAAGCCAGGUAAAUGAAAACUUGGAAAGAUAAACCUCAGAUAAGGGGGACUACUGUAUUCAUUCCUUCACCAUGGCGUGUCUGUGUCUGAGAAUCUACCCUUAAAAACAAUCUGGAUGCAAAGAAGCCGUGAGAUAGAGCGCAGUCCCUUCAUUUCAUAAAAGAAUGAAACUAACUCAAAUACACAAGGCAAUGGUUUGAAAGCUCUAAAUUUAUUCAGCUUAUACUGAAAGGAAAUGAAGUCUAUGUCCAAAUAGGAACCAAUGUGGUUCCUGCUGUGCUGUGCCUUCAUUACCUGAGACUACAGCAGCCUGCAUUCUCCACCGGGCUCGGAGGAGUGCAGAUGCCUGAGAAACGAAGUCUCAGUAUGUUGCCCAAGCUGGUCUUGAACUCCUGGUCUUAAGCGAUCUCCUUGCCUCAGCCUCCCGAGUACUUCUCAGUUUUCUAUACAAAUCUCUCAUCUAUCCCUAACCUCUCAGUGGAGAAACUCCAAGAUGAAUCCCAAAGAUCUCCAUCUCCAGCUGUUCACACUCCUGUGUAAUCUCUAGCCCUUGGGUGUGGAAAGGACUUGUGACUUGCUUUAACCAACAACAACAGAAUAUAGCAAAGAUGCCUAAGAACUGCAAAUGAGAAAUAAUUUUCUCACCUGGUCACAGCAUCUACCAAGAAUGGCGCUGGGGGAGAGAUCAGUGAGAUUCCAUCUUUAUUACCAUGUCCCUCCUUCCCCGUCAAAAGCAUUUCACAUCCCGCAAGUCCAUUAGACAUGACACCACUCUGCUGUGGGAGACACACACACACAACUAAAUACAGCGUAACAACACCUGCCUGGUCAGCACUUCAGCUCCAAAUCAAGCUUCACUAAUGACUAUGAGAUUAACGAAGAUGGUUUUGAUAAUUAUGACUGUUUUGUUUUUCUUAACUAUUCUUCAUCUGAGACUUUUACUGUUGUUUCUGCCAGCAUCCUGACAAACAUUUACAACCAGAAAGGGUAAGCCACUAGCUUGAAGCCAUUAAGUUCAGUUAACAAGGCUUUGAUAACAACCCUCAUGUUUUUAAGGAAAAACAAAGAACCUAGUAAUCCUUUAGGCCUUACCCUGAGAGGGUAGCCAGAAGAAAAAUCACAAAUAACAUGAACUUACCGGAACAAUCCACCGGGGUGUGAUCAUGGAUGUGGAAGACACCUGAAAUAAUUUUAUGCAUGUAUUUACUUUUUGGAAAGACUGACUUAUUUUCAUACUUAUAAUACUUACAUCUAUUAUGAAAUCCAUUCUAGGAGGGCAAUUCUUAAUUCUUAAUGGUGUUCCUUGAGCUGACAUGGACUUCUAAAUCCAAGACCCUUUUCUAUUAUACAACACAGAUGCUAUCCCUCACCACUUAAGAAAGUGUCAUAAUUUUGAGAAUCUCUUAUCUAAAAAUUUACCAUUCAAGAAUCUAUUACUACUUUCAGUUCACUUAAUAGGACUGCCCCUACCUCACACCCAGUAUUCAGUUUAACAUUUUAUUUUCUGAAAUUUCAGUUAAUUACAAAUAAUGAUAGCCUUCUUGGUAGCAGCCUGAACAAUGGAUUGUGACUAAUCCAAAUAAAUAGCAACAAGAAAGUACACAGAAAAAUAAUCUGUUUAGAUACAGAUCAUUCUCUAAUUAUCAUGUAUGCAUGAAGAAAGCGAAUAAAAACACCCAUAUUGCUCCUGGUUCACAGGGCCUUUGAUAUAUUAUUUUUAAAUGUUUAACCUUCUAUUAUAGGUCAUCUAUGUGUAGAAUUAUAAACUAAGGAAACCCACCCAUUUUACUAGUAAUUUAGACUAGUCCUUGCAUUGGUGGCCUUACAUACUCAUAAGAAAAAACUAAUGUAAGUCCAGGUAUUAGUAAAUUAGAUAACCACCAAAAGAAUAAAAACACAGGCUGGGCGCAGUGGCGCACGCCUGUAACCCCAGCAUUUUGAGAGGGCGAGGCGGGCAGAUCAUAAGGCUGGUCUUGAACUCCUGACCUCAAGUGAUCUGCCCACCUCGGCCUCCCAAAGUGCUGGGAUUACAGGCGUGAGCCACCGUGUCCAGCAAAGUUAGCUAUUUCUAUCUCUCUCAUCCCUGGAGGGAAGGAACUGUUUCAGUUGGCCCUCCAUAUCCAUGAGUUCUGCAUCUGUGGAUUCAACAACUGUAAAUCGAAAAUAUUUGGAGGGGAAAAAAAGGAUGGUUGUGUCUGUACUGAACAUGUGCAGGCUUUUAUUCUUGUCAUUAUUUCCUAAACAAUACAAUAUAACAACUGUUUACCAGCAUUUACACUGCAUUAGAUAUUAGAGGUAAGCUAGAUUAUUUAAAAUAUACUAGAGGAUAUGUGUAGGUUAUAUGCAAACACUACACCAUUUUAUAUGAGAUUUAAGCAUGCAUGGAUUUUGGUAUCCAAGGGGAGUCCUGGAACCAAUCCCUCACAGAUACUGAGGGACAACUAUACUUAAUACAGUAUCUUCCAGACUGUAAUAAUGAUUGAUAUGUUCAAUGCCAUUCUUACGCUCUCAUCUUUCUAUAAAACUUUUUUAAAAAUGAAAUAUAUCCUUAUUGUCUUAAGAAA